UGUCAGUUUCCUCCCUCCUCGAUGGGAUUUGUGGUGGUAGGUGCUAGCAUGCAAACAUGGGAUGCAAGCACCUACGGACGUGAAAUUAGAGUCCAUGCACUUGGCGUCAAUGCAAAUGAUGGCAUUGGAAACAGCUGCUUCUGGAUGCCACCUCACCUGCGAAGUGAGGUUUGUGACUCACUGGCAUCACGACCCCGCUGGGGUGCCCCUCGCUGCAAGGCAAUGACGCACCCUCAGCGGUGGCAACAGCCCUUCUUUGUGAUUAGCCAAUCAUAUGGCAGCUCAUCAUCCUCUGUCAGUGAGUCAAUGUGGUGGAGGAGGAGGAAGAGGAGAUGUGUAACUGGGACUGAAACGGUGCGGCGACGCCGAGGGCGGAAUUAGGCGCUAAUCAGGAUGAGCGGAGCUCAGCGGGAAUGUGGCAGGGAUCGCUCGCACACUCUCCCAGCAGACGCCGCAAGGAUAUCGACACAGACGCAACCCUG